CCAAUAGCGUAUAUUAAAGUUGUUGCUGUUAAAAAGCUCGUAGUUGAACUUCGGGAUCAAUGAAUCGGUCAUGCUUUCGUAUGUACUGGUUUUAUUGGUUCUCACCUUCUAAGGAACCAUAAUGUCAUUCAUUUGAUGUUAUGGGGAAUUAGGACUGUUACCUUGAAAAAAUUAGAGCGUUUAAAGCAGGCUAACGCUUGAAUACAUUAGCAUGGAAUAAUGAAAUAGGACAUCGCAUUUCUAUUUUGUUGGUUUCUAGGAUCGAUGUAAUGAUUAAUAGGGAUAGUUGGGGGCAUUAGUAUUCAAUUGUCAGAGGUGAAAUUCUUGGAUUUAUUGAAGACUAACUACUGCGAAAGCAUUUGCCAAGGAUGUUUUCAUUAAUCAAGAACGAAAGUUAGGGGAUCGAAGACGAUCAGAUACCGUCGUAGUCUUAACCAUAAACUAUGCCGACUAGGGAUCGGAUGAUGUUGAUUUUUUAAUGACUCAUUCGGCACCUUACG
rnacentral:rRNA from 1 species